rnacentral:rRNA from 1 species
AACGAACGCUGGCGGCAUGCCUAACACAUGCAAGUCGAACGAUCCCUUCGGGGAUAGUGGCGCACGGGUGCGUAACGCGUGGGAACCUGCCCUUAGGUUCGGAAUAACUCAGAGAAAUUUGAGCUAAUACCGGAUAAUGUCUUCGGACCAAAGAUUUAUCGCCUUUGGAUGGGCCCGCGUUGGAUUAGCUAGUUGGUGGGGUAAAGGCCUACCAAGGCGACGAUCCAUAGCUGGUCUGAGAGGAUGAUCAGCCACACUGGGACUGAGACACGGCCCAGACUCCUACGGGAGGCAGCAGUGGGGAAUAUUGGACAAUGGGCGAAAGCCUGAUCCAGCAAUGCCGCGUGAGUGAUGAAGGCCUUAGGGUUGUAAAGCUCUUUUACCCGGGAUGAUAACGACAGUACCGGGAGAAUAAGCCCCGGCUAACUCCGUG